rfam:Bartonella alsatica IBS 382 genomic scaffold supercont1.1, whole genome shotgun sequence.
CCCCUUUUACAAAGCCCGUUCUUCAUCUAUAUUUAAAGAGCUGGCUUGCCAGCUAUGGUAAUAAAUGGACAAUGAAAUAAACUCAUUGGACCCGGGGGCGGUACCCGGCGCCUCCACCAAAAUAUAAUAAACAAAAAUUUAUAUUUUGAUGGGGGCGAAAUAGGAUCGACAAGAGUGUAAAGAUUGCUCUUUUACUCGGUAUAGUACCACCGUUAUCGGACUAAAUGAGUAGUUGCAAAUGACAACUAUGCGGAAGCACGUCUCGCCGCUUGAGUCGGCGUGAAUGCUUCAAAUUAAGUCUUAAACCGUCGCAGGUUUAAGCGGGGUUCGAAGGCACCUGGCAACAGAAGCCUUCACU